rnacentral:rRNA from 1 species
UACGAAGGGUGCAAGCGUUACUCGGAAUUACUGGGCGUAAAGAGUGCGUAGGUGGUUCGUUAAGUCUGAUGUGAAAGCCCUGGGCUCAACCUGGGAAUGGCAUUGGAUACUGGCGACCUAGAGUGCGGUAGAGGGGUGUGGAAUUCCCGGUGUAGCAGUGAAAUGCGUAGAUAUCGGGAAGAACACCUGAGGCGAAGGCGGCUAUCUGGCGGUACAUUGACGCUAAGGCGCGAAAGCGUGGGGAGCAAACAGG